AAUUAUCAAAGGUAAAGUGAACAACUUUCUCUGCAGCCCACCGGCUGUCUCCCGGAUACACCGUCACUCUUGAACGCCUUGCAUUUCGCUAUUGGCUGUACUGAGAAACAGCACCAGAGAGUGACCGCACUCUCUUCUCCAUCCCUCCCUGCCCAAAUAACAUUGAGAAACUGAAGCACUUCUCGACGUUAGAACAAACCGGUUCAAGAAGGGGGAAAGGAUGAGGCAGAUGUCCAGACGAACUGCUUUUGGCAUGGAUUCUUUAUACAGCGCUGAACAAACUUACGUGUUAAAUCUUAGAUGGCUAAUGGACUUUGGCCGCUAUUUGUUACCCAAUAAAUCGUAGAGGACUUCAAGUG